AUUGAACGCUGGCGGCAGGCCUAACACAUGCAAGUCGGGCGAGCGGCGGACGGGUGAGCAAUGGAUGGGGAUCUGCGUGAUGGAGGGGGCUAACUACUGGAAACUGUAGCUAAUACCGCGUACCAUAGGAUGAGCCCACGUGGGAUUAGGUAGUUGGUGAGGUAACGGCUCACCAAGCCGACGAUCUCUAGCUGUUCUGAGAGGAUGACCAGCCACACUGGUACGGAGACACGGCCCAGACUCCUACGUGAGGCAGCAGUGGGGAAUAUUGCGCAAUGGGGGCAACCCUGACGCAGCCAUGCCGCGUGAAUGAAGAAGGCCUUCGGGUUGUAAAGUUCUUUCGGUAGCGAGGCGUUAACUACAGAAGAAGCACCGGCUAACUCCGUGCCAGCAGCCGCGGUAAUAC
rnacentral:rRNA from 1 species